GAACUCUAUUUUUCUUUUAAAACGCAGAAGUAUUUCGCCUUUCACUAAAGACUUCCGUGGAUUGGAACACUCAAAUGAGUUCUAUAUUUUUUGACAACUCUACUGCGGUAUUGCAUG